rnacentral:rRNA from 1 species
GACGAACGCUGGCGGCGUGCCUAAUACAUGCAAGUAGAACGCUGAAGAGAGGAGCUUGCUCUUCUUGGAUGAGUUGCGAACGGGUGAGUAACACGUGGGUAACCUGCCCAUCAGAAGGGGAUAACACUUGGAAACAGGUGCUAAUACCGUAUAACAAUCGAAACCGCAUGGUUUUGAUUUGAAAGGCGCUUUCGGGUGUCGCUGAUGGAUGGACCCGCGGUGCAUUAGCUAGUUGGUGAGGUAACGGCUCACCAAGGCGACGAUGCAUAGCCGACCUGAGAGGGUGAUCGGGCCACAUUGGGACUGAGACACGGGCCCAAACUCCUACGGGAGGCAGCAGUAGGGAAUCUUCGGGCAAUGGGACGAAAGUCUGACCGAGCAACGCCGCGUGAGUGAAGAAGGUUUUCGGAUCGUAAAACUCUGUUGUUAGAGAAGAACAAGGAUGAGAGUAACUGUUCAUCCCUUGACGGUAUCUAACCAGAAAA